rnacentral:rRNA from 1 species
UUGACCUCGGAUCAGGUAGGGAUACCCGCUGAACUUAAGCAUAUCAAUAAGCGGAGGAAAAGAAACCAACCGGGAUUGCCCCAGUAACGGCGAGUGAAGCGGCAAGAGCUCAAAUUUGAAAUCUGGCCCCUCCGGGGUCCGAGUUGUAAUUUGCAGAGGAUGCUUCGGGUGCGGCCCCUGUCUAAGUGCCCUGGAACGGGCCGUCAGAGAGGGUGAGAAUCCCGUCUUGGGCAGGGUGCCCGUGCCCGUGUGAAGCUCCUUCGACGAGUCGAGUUGUUUGGGAAUGCAGCUCUAAAUGGGUGGUAAAUUUCAUCUAAAGCUAAAUACCGGCCGGAGACCGAUAGCGCACAAGUAGAGUGAUCGAAAGAUGAAAAGCACUUUGAAAAGAGAGUUAAACAGCACGUGAAAUUGUUGAAAGGGAAGCGCUUGCGACCAGACUCGGCCUCGGGGUUCAGCCAGCACUCGUGCUGGUGUACUUCCCCGGGGGCGGGCCAGCGUCGGUUUGGGCGGCCGGUCAAAGGCCCCAGGAAUGUAUCGUCCUCCGGGACGCCUUAUAGCCUGGGGUGCAAUGCGGCCAGCCUGGACCGAGGAACGCGCUUCGGCACGGACGCUGGCGUAAUGGUCGCAAACGACC